UACGAAGGGGGCUAGCGUUGCUCGGAAUUACUGGGUGUAAAGGGUGCGUAGGCGGUUGUUUAAGUCUGUCGUGAAAUCCCCGGGCUCAACCUGGGAAUGGCGAUGGAUACUGGGCAGCUAGAGUGUGUCAGAGGAUGGUGGAAUUCCCGGUGUAGCGGUGAAAUGCGUAGAGAUCGGGAGGAACAUCAGUGGCGAAGGCGGCCAUCUGGGACAACACUGACGCUGAAGCACGAAAGCGUGGGGAGCAAACAGG
rnacentral:rRNA from 1 species